CCCUUAGAUGUUCUGGGCCGCACACGCGCUACACUGAAGGAGGCAGCGUGUACUCCUGGAUCGAAAGAUUUGGGUAACCCGCGAAUCUCCUUCGUGCUAGGGAUUGAGGUUUGCAAUUAUCCUUCAUGAACGAGGAAUUCCCAGUAAGUGCAAGUCAUAAGCUUGCGCUGACUACGUCCCUGCCCUUUGUACACACCGCCCGUCGCUACUACCGAUUGAAUGAUUUAGUGAGGACUUCGGACUGGGACCGAUGCGGCUUUCGGGCUGCGUCGGUAUUCUGGAAAGAUGUCCAAACUGUAUCAUCUAGAGGAAGUAAAAGUCGUAACA
rnacentral:rRNA from 1 species